AAAACGACUCUCGGCAACGGAUAUCUCGGCUCUCGCAUCGAUGAAGAACGUAGCAAACUGCGAUACUUGGUGUGAAUUGCAGAAUCCCGUGAACCAUCGAGUCUUUGAACGCAAGUUGCSCCCGAAGCCGUUAGGCCGAGGGCACGUCUGCCUGGGSGUCACMGC
rnacentral:rRNA from 1 species